rnacentral:rRNA from 1 species
AUACGAAGGGGGCUAGCGUUGUUCGGAAUUACUGGGCGUAAAGCGCGUGUAGGCGGCCAGGUAAGUCGAAUGUGAAAGCCCGGGGCUCAACCUCGGAAGAGCAUCCGAAACUGCUUGGCUCGAGUCCUGGAGAGGAAGGUGGAAUGCUUGGUGUAGAGGUGAAAUUCGUAGAUAUCAAGCGGAACACCGGUGGCGAAGGCGGCCUUCUGGACAGUGACUGACGCUGAGACGCGAAAGCGUGGGGAGC